rnacentral:rRNA from 1 species
GAUGAACGCUGGCGGCGUGCCUAAUACAUGCAAGUCGAGCGAACAGAUGAGGAGCUUGCUCCUCUGACGUUAGCGGCGGACGGGUGAGUAACACGUGGAUAACCUACCUACAAGACUGGGAUAACUUCGGGAAACCGGAGCUAAUACCGGAUAAUAUAUUCAACCGCAUGGUUCAAUAGUGAAAGACGGUUUUGCUGUCACUUAUAGAUGGAUCCGCGCCGCAUUAGCUAGUUGGUAAGGUAACGGCUUAUCAAGGCGACGAUGCGUAGCCGACCUGAGAGAGUGAACGGCCACACUGGAAGUGAGACACGGUCCAGACUCCGACGGGGAGCAGCAGUAGAGAAUCUUGCGCAGUGGGCGAAGGCCUGACGGGACAACGCCGCGUGAGAGAUGAAGGUCUUCGGGUCGUAAAACUCUGUUAUUUGGGAAGAACAAAUGUGUAAGUAACUAUGCACGUAUUGACGGUACCUAGUCAAAAAGCCACGGCUAAAUACGUG